UUGUGGAGGAGGACGCCGAAGGUGGGGCUGAUGACUGGGGUGAAGUCGUAACAAGGUAGCCGUACCGGAAGGUGCGGCUGGAUCACCUCCUAACAGGGAGACAAACAAUUGAUCGUGAUGUCUGAGUAAAUUUCUUAGGCCAUGAUCCUGUCACCUUAGGUCGAUCGGUACCUCAAUUAAGGCUUUAAAUAAUACUUUUAAGGUCUUGAAUCAGUUCCUAAACUUGUCUAGGUCACACCCAACAAGGGUUACUCCUGGGCCAUUAGCUCAGGUGGUUAGAGCGCACCCCUGAUAAGGGUGAGGUCCCUGGUUCAAGUCCAGGAUGGCCCAUUCGGUAUUGGGGGUAUAGCUCAGUUGGUAGAGCGCCUGCUUUGCAAGCAGGAUGUCAGCGGUUCGAGUCCGCUUACCUCCACUGAUCGAUCUCCUGAUAAACGAAGGCAAAGGAGAGUUUUGUUGGUUGUGAUUUAGAGUUAGUUAGUCUGAUUGAACCUAGCUUCCUAUCAUUCCUAUAAUUUUAGAAUUUCUAAAUUUUAAGGUUGACAGGAAGCUGGGCUCACUACAUUUUUUAAUGUAGUAAGAGUUCAGAAGAACCUUGAAAACUGCAUAGUGAGUCUGGAAAAAAUAAAGCAUCUCAUGGAUGCAUUGUUUUUUUAUGAUUUUUGGAGUUAAUUUAAUUCCAGAAAAUUAAGAAAAUAAUGUAAAUUCUUGAGCAAGAGCAAAGACUCUAUAAACAAUUUUGAUUUAUAGGGAUUUAAUGGUCAAGCUACAA
rnacentral:misc_RNA from 1 species